AGUGAACGCUGGCAGUAGGCCUAACACAUGCAAGUCGAACGGCAGCACAGUAAGAGCUUGCUCUUACGGGUGGCGAGUGGCGGACGGGUGAGGAAUACAUCGGAAUCUACUUUUUCGUGGGGGAUAACGUAGGGAAACUUACGCUAAUACCGCAUACGACCUACGGGUGAAAGCAGGGGAUCUUCGGACCUUGCGCGAUUGAAUGAGCCGAUGUCGGAUUAGCUAGUUGGCGGGGUAAAGGCCCACCAAGGCGACGAUCCGUAGCUGGUCUGAGAGGAUGAUCAGCCACACGGGAACUGAGACACGGUCCAGACUCCUACGGGAGGCAGCAGUGGGGAAUAUUGGACAAUGGGCGCAAGCCUGAUCCAGUCAUACCGCGUGGGUGAAGAAGGCCUUCGGGUUGUAAAGCCCUUUUGUUGGGAAAGAAAAGCAGCAGGUUAAUACCCCGCUGUUCUGACGGUACCCAAAGAAUAAGCACCGGCUAACUUCGUG
rnacentral:rRNA from 1 species